AGAGUUUGAUCCUGGCUCAGGACGAACGCUGGCGGCGUGCUUAAUACAUGCAAGUCGAACGGUGCAGCAAUGCAUAGUGGCGGACGGGUGAGUAACGCGUGAGUAAUCUGCCUUUAACUGGGGAAUAACCAUGGGAAACCAUGGCUAAUACCGCAUAUGACCACAAUGCCGCAUGGCGAAGGGGUGAAAGAUUUAUCGGU
rnacentral:rRNA from 1 species